AUACGGAAGGUCCGGGCGUUAUCCGGAUUUAUUGGGUUUAAAGGGAGCGCAGGCGGAGAUGCAAGCGUGACGUCAAAUUUCGGGGCUCAACCCCGUCUCGCGUCGCGAACUGCGUCCCUUGGUUGCGGGAAGGGGAGGCGGAACUCGUGGUGUAGCGGUGAAAUGCAUAGAUAUCACGAAGAACUCCGAUCGCGAAGGCAGCCUUCCGGCCCGUCAACGACGCUCAUGCUCGAAGGUGCGGGUAUCAAACAGGAUUAGAUACCCUGGUAGUCCGCACGGUAAACGAUGAUUACCCGCUGUCGGCGGUAGACAGUCGGCGGCCAAGCGAAAGCGAUAAGUAAUCCACCUGGGGAGUACGCCGGCAACGGUGAAACUCAAAGGAAUUGACGGGG
rnacentral:rRNA from 1 species